rnacentral:rRNA from 1 species
GGUAAGGUGACCUGCGGAAGGAUCAUUACAGAGUUCAUGCCCGAAAGGGUAGACCUCCCACCCUUGUGUAUUAUUACUUUGUUGCUUUGGCGAGCUGCCUUCGGGCCUUGUAUGCUCGCCAGAGAAUACCAAAACUCUUUUUAUUAAUGUCGUCUGAGUACUAUAUAAUAGUUAAAACUUUCAACAACGGAUCUCUUGGUUCUGGCAUCGAUGAAGAACGCAGCGAAAUGCGAUAAGUAAUGUGAAUUGCAGAAUUCAGUGAAUCAUCGAAUCUUUGAACGCACAUUGCGCCCCUUGGUAUUCCGGGGGGCAUGCCUGUUCGAGCGUCAUUUCAACCCUCAAGCUUAGCUUGGUAUUGAGUCUAUGUCAGUAAUGGCAGGCUCUAAAAUCAGUGGCGGCGCCGCUGGGUCCUGAACGUAGUAAUAUCUCUCGUUACAGGUUCUCGGUGUGCUUCUGCCAAAACCCAAAUUUUUCUAUGGUUGACCUCGGAUCAGGUAGGGAUACCCGCUGAACUUAAGCAUAUCAAAA